GUCUCUUUGAAAAUUAUUAAUAAAGAGUUGGGCCUGCUCGGUGAGAAGAAAAAUUUAACAGCUGCGGUAUUAUAACUGUACUAAGGUAGCAUAAUAAUUUGCCUUAUAAAUUAAGGCUAGAAUGAAUGGUUUGACGAAAAUUAGACUGUCUUUAUUUUAUUUGUUAGAAAUUAAUUUUUAUAGUGAAAAAGCUUGAAUAAUUUAAGGGGACGAGAAGACCCUAUUGAGCUUUAUUUAUUAAUAUUUAAAUAUAAAUAUAUAAUUUAUAUUAUGAAAAUUAUGUUGUAUAUAUAUAUAUGUAUAUUUAAUUGGAUUUAAUUUUGAUUGGGGUGAUCAAGGAAUAAAGAUAAAGUAACUUCCUUAAAAUUAAUGAUUGUUUUUAUGGAGUAAUAAACCAAGUUUUUUGCUUAUAAGAUAAGUUACCAUAGGGGUAACAGCGUAAUUUUUUUUGAGAGUUCAUAUUGAAAAAAGAGAUUGCGACCUCGAUGUUGGAUUAAAAAUUACCUUAAGGUGUAGAGGCUUUGUUAGGUGAAUCUGUUCGAUUUUUAAAAUUUU
rnacentral:rRNA from 1 species